CCCUUAGAUGUUCUGGGCCGCACGCGUGCUACACUGAGUAAUUCAAUGGGUAAGGGAACGCUAGAGCAUUACCUAAUCUUGAAAUUUGCUCGUGAUGGGGAUCGACGGUUGCAAUUUUCCGUCGUGAACGAGGAAUACCUUGUAGGCGCAUGUCAUCAUCAUGCGCCGAAUACGUCCCUGCCCUUUGUACACACCGCCCGUCGCUCCUACCGAUUGAGUGAUCCGGUGAGGCUCUGAGACCUGGACGGAAAGAGCGUUUCGCUUGUUCUGUUUGGGAAACUUGGUCGAACCUUAUCAUUUAGAGGAAGGAGAAGUCGUAACA
rnacentral:rRNA from 1 species